GAGCCCCGUCCGCUGCGCCACUUUUAUAAAACGCUUUUGCAGGGCGCUUAGCUCAGUUGGUAGAGCGUCUGCCUUACAAGCAGAAUGUCGGCGGUUCGAUCCCGUCAGCGCCCACCAUAAUUUGUGACCAUACUUUAUUUUUAAAGUAUUGCAAGUGCAGCGGUAGUUCAGUUGGUUAGAAUACCGGCCUGUCACGCCGGGGGUCGCGGGUUCGAGCCCCGUCCGCUGCGCCAUUCUCUUGAUUCCCUGAUCUAGAGGAUGUAAUGUAUAAAGACUGUGAUUGUUGUCUUUUUCAAUCAGGGCGCUUAGCUCAGUUGGUAGAGCGUCUGCCUUACAAGCAGAAUGUCGGCGGUUCGAUCCCGUCAGCGCCCACCAUAAUUUUUUCAAAUUUAAAAAAUUAAACACGCUAAUUUAUUUAGUGUUUUUUGCGUUUCUGCUCUUCCUAUUUUUUAUCUAUCUAUUUUAUCUUUUUUGGUUAACUCUCUCUUUUCCAUACUUAAUUUUUGAGUUCGAAUUAUUAUUACUAUCGAGUUUAACUAAAGCUGCCAUGCUGUAACGCAAUAGCAGCUUUGUAAACUAAGAUUAAUACUCA
rnacentral:tRNA from 1 species